rnacentral:rRNA from 1 species
UACAGAGGUCUCAAGCGUUGUUCGGAUUCAUUGGGCGUAAAGAGCUCGUAGGCGGUUCAGUAAGUCGGGUGUGAAAGCUCCGAGCUCAACUCGGAGAGGCCACCCGAUACUGCUGUGACUUGAGUCCAGUAGAGGAGCGUGGAAUUCCUGGUGUAGCGGUGAAAUGCGCAGAUAUCAGGAGGAACACCAGCAGCGAAGGCGGCGCUCUGGGCUGGAACUGACGCUGAGGAGCGAAAGCGUGGGGAGCAAACAGG